GGGCAAAUGCGGAGAUCAUCGUGUUGAGCGAGUAGAUGUUGGGUGUCUCGAUGCGCUCGAACGCGGCGAUGGCGUCGCCGAGUCUCCCACACUUUCCGUACAUCUGGACGAGGUUGUUUCCCAGAUACGUAUCGCGGUCGUAGCCGGCGAGCGCGAUCCGUUCGUGGAGCCGGCGACCCUCUCCCAGUGCCUUGGCGCUGGCGCACCGCCGGAGGAGAGAUCCAAAUCUUCCCACAUCGAUCGCGUUCUUUCCAGAGUCGCGGAGGAGGAGCCCAUCGAUCGCCUGCUUGAGCUGCUCGCGCAAACUCUUGUCGCUUAAUCUGGGCGAUGCUGCUGCUGCUGCUGCUGGAUGCUCGUCGUCGCAGCUUAAGUUCUUGCCCACCACUUUUCCUAUAUUUUAAACUCCAUUGGUAAUAUUAGUUUUGCUUGAACUCUAUUGAUGUUAUGAUUAAGUAGUAGUUCUCUAGUAAAGGUUAUAUAUAACUCUAGUACAUUAGUGUUUGCUAUCAUUUCUUCAAAUGCUUAAUUUAAAAGAUUUUAUAACUUGCCUCCAACCUUCAAGGAGGUAUUAAGAUUUUAAUAUAUAAAUAAUUUUGUUUUAUAGAUCACAAUCACUUUAGAGUUUUUAGAACUUGAGGCUCUGGAAGUUUUUACAAAGAGCUAGACCAUUCUUGAGCUCACAAGUUAAAGAGUUGAAUUUAUGAGUUAAGUUUGAUACAAACAUUAUAAGCUUUAACAUAUUAUGGCAAAUAUUUUCACAACUCUCUGAAUAUUAUAUAAAUAUAAAGGAAUACAUAUAUUGAUGGAGCUAUUUGUUUGUAAAUUAUAAUAGAAGUAAAUUUAGGUGGACUUAAAUAAUUAAAAGAAUUAUAUAAGCCACUCCAUGAAUGUAAGCCCUUCAUAUAAUAUUAAUUUUAAAUAACUAUUCCAAAACUAUUUUGGAGUAUUAGAAAAAAUGACAUUGUGAAUAACAAAGAAUUAAAUAUUUGUUUUAUGAAGAUGUAAACAUAUUUAGAAACAGUGAGGUUGGCAUUAUAAAUAUCUCAAUUUGUUAUAAUCUGGACCAUCCAAUAUUUGUAUAAGUAUGUUAGUAUUCCUUUAAAAAUUGUAUCAUGUCUUUAGGCAUUAUAUUAAUGUUUUUAUUUAGAUUAAUUAAUGCUCCUGAGGUUGGCUUUCGACCAGAAGAUACAGAUUAUAUAAAUUCAAAUACUACAAAUAGGAUUAUAUCAGCUCUACUUUUAAUGGUAAAAGCUAAAAUUCCUCCUCAUGCAGCAGUACCAUUAGGUCAAGGUAUCAAAGCUGAGGUAAUUCUGCCAGAUGAAAUAUAUGGUAAAAUAAGUGUGAAUGUACAAAUAUGGCUUUAUAGCCAUGAAAGAGGGAAAAGUUUCAGGCAUUGUUCUGCUUAUCCUACUGGAGAGAAUGGUAAUACUACUGCCAUUAUAUUAGAUUUACUUUACUUAUUAAUGUACUACCGUCCUAUUCUUAUAUCUUUAGGUUCUAGAUUAAUUGCUUUAACAUCAGGGAUCUAUGGUAUUUACUAUUGGGUUAGAAAUGUACCUCCAGCAGGGCAACCUAGCUCUAGAACAUCAGAUCAAUUUAUUAAUACAUCAAAUAAAAUUAACAAUUUUAAUGAUUGUCAUAUUUCCUUGAAUACAUUAAUUAGCUCUACAAUUCAUAAUAUUUUAUUAGAAUUCCAUUUUAUAACAUCUCCAAAUCAAAAAGCAUACUUAUAUUUGCAUCCUAAUUGCAAAUUAGAAUUAUAUAUUGGAAAUAAAUCAAAGUGGUUUAAAUCAGGAAAUUAUAUAAAAUGUUAUCUUGUAUUACAGGGCCUUCCUCUCCCGCCCCAUGCGGCUUGGCUGCCUCCCAUUGGCCGGGAGCAAACAUCAGCGCGAUUAUUCUCAAACACGUGGUUAAAGAAAUAACCCCUUUACAGUUACCCCCCAUCGGACAGCCCAAUUGGCUGGAUCCGGCGGCCCACAAAGUUCGGCAUUUGCUCCUUAUAGUAGUAGAUAAACAAAAAAAUUGUGUGGUCACCAAAUGAAUAUUGUUAUCCCCAACCAAAUUGUGUGAUGAACUCAUAUCUUUCAUUACAAAACAAUUGUAAUUUAGUUUUAUACCAAAAUAUACAAGAUACGUUUUCUAAAGUACCAAGAGUUCAAAUCCUUUGGUCAACUGGUACUUUUUGUAAUUAAGAAACAUUAAUAUAGAAUUAUUAUUUAUGUUGUUCUUCCCAAUCUUCUACUUCAUUCCAGCGUCCCAUGUCUGUAGUACCCAUGUCUGUGGUACACAAGGUAAUGCUUGAAAGAGUAAAUUUGGGAAUUCCUGGAAAUGCCAGCACCAAACCCAGUGGUGAUUGAAGCAAGGAAUUGCUUCACAAGACAUGCCAAUUUUUUGUCUUUUUCUUUUGUAAGGUUCGAUAGAACGAAAAUGGAUGCUUGAAUUUCACUCUACAAGACUGUUUAGUUGUUCCGUGAAAUCAAUUUGAUCAAGCCCCUCCUUGGCCCGGUGGCUAUCUCCAUGUGUCUUGUAAGCACCCAGCAGCGUUCUCAUUGCGACAUCAUCAGCCUCUACCGGCAUGCCUUGGAUCAAUUCCUCGGCGUCUCUCAGCUGGCCAGCUCGAGCAAGCAGAUCGAUCAUGCACAUAAAAUGGUCACGAACCGGCUGGAUCCCGAAGUCUAGCUGCAUGGACACGAAGAAGGAGCAGCCAUCUUCGUAUCGCCCCCCAUGGCUGCAAGAGAAGAUGACGCUCACGAACGUGAUCUCGUCCGGAUCAACACCUCGCAAGAUCAUCGCCACGAACAGCUCCAGCGCCUCCCAGAAGCAGCCGUUUUUGGAGUACGAAGCCAUCAUCGUGUUCCAAGCGACGAGGUGGUUUGGAGCCGGGAUUUGCUCGAACACCGCUCGCGAUUCCUCCAGGUUCCCACACUUCGCAUAGAGAUUCAUGAGAGCGUUCCCGACAACGAUGUCCCGAUCCAAUCCGGCCUCCACAACCGCGGCGUGGAUCAUCCGUCCCUCCACGAUCGAUGGAAUGCUCGCACAGGCGUCCAGCACGCCCACGUAGCUGAACUUAUCGGGAUGGAAGCCCUCCACCACCAUUCUCUUGAAGAGUUUGAGCGAUUCGACAUGGCCACCCUCGCCAGAGCUCGAAGAAGCGUACAUCGCGAUCAUGAUGUUCCACGAGUUGAGAUCCCGAGUGUUCAUGGCAUCGAAGAUCUCCCUGGCUUUGGAGAGGCGCCUGUUCUGUGCGUAAGCCGUGAUCAUCGCAUUCCACGACACGGUGUUCUUCACGGGCAUGUCUUGGAACACGGCCUCAGCAUCUGCAAGAUGCCCGUUCUGGGCAUACGCAGCAACCAUCGCCGUCCAUGUCACUACAUUCUUCUCGGGCAUCUCCUGGAAGACUUGAAACGCUUCUUGGGCACUUCCACACUUCCCAUACAUGUCUACCAGCGCGGUCCCCAAGACAACAUCCGACUUGUAGUCUUCCCCGGAAGCGACGAUUGUGGAGUGGAUGAUCUUCGCUACUGCAAUUCCCGCAGGCGCAUCUAGAGCUUGGAUCACACUCAGAUAUGACACCUUGUCCGGCCCAACUCCCUGGAAAUCCAUCUCUCGAAACAGCUCCAGCGCCUCUUGCAUAAGCCCAUUCUGGGCAAAUGCUGCUACCAUCGCGUUCCAGGCGACCACGUCUCGAACUGGCAUUUGGCGAAACAACGAUCUUGCAUCGUCAAGGUUGCAGCUUUGCGCGCAAGCAACCAAUAUUGCCGUCCAGGAAAUGGCGUCCCAAAGCGGCAUCUUGCUGAACAGCGUGCGUGCAUGAUGCAAAUGCCCGUUUUGGGCAAAUGCGGAGAUCAUCGUGUUGAGCGAGUAGAUGUUGGGUGUCUCGAUGCGCUCGAACGCGGCGAUGGCGUCGCCGAGUCUCCCACACUUUCCGUACAUCUGGACGAGGUUGUUUCCCAGAUACGUAUCGCGGUCGUAGCCGGCGAGCGCGAUCCGUUCGUGGAGCCGGCGACCCUCUCCCAGUGCCUUGGCGCUGGCGCACCGCCGGAGGAGAGACCCAA
rnacentral:lncRNA from 1 species